UCACUUCAGCCUAAGAGAGAGCAAAAUCUUUUUCUACCAGCUAAAAGGAGGUGAAAGUUUUGGUCCCCUCACACCGCGGAUCGCCUUUACUUUGUCUAAUUGGGGUGUUUUGAGCCUCAUCGCUACACCCGAAGUGCAGAAGAGCCUGCGGGAAACGAGCUCGCAACAACCGAGAACCAGGGAUCAACAACAACUCGCGUCGCUUUCCCUAUGUGCAUAUCACUCGACUCUCAUUUAAGCCAGAUGUGUUAACCUGAUCCCUGCGAAACACCAGCUCUCCGUGGAUUUUGACCGCGAGUGACCGGAUGUUGUUUCCGGCCUGAGGUUGCCUGAAAUGCCGUGAGGCUCGUUUGAAAGAUUGCGCCCGAGACCAACUCCGCCUCCAAGGCGUGCCUACCUUUAGCUGCCACCAGUGAGAUAUCAGAGCCGGGCUCCACAUAUCCAAUCAGGAGCACGAGCAAGACAGCUUUUGCAGACUCUCCAGAAAUAUACAAGUCCUUACCAACUGCUCUGCAACCCAGUGUUUCUGGUCCCCUCACCAACAUCGCUUUUUGAGAUAUUUUUUUUACGAACCACCAAAAAAGCAAUUUUACCCCCCAGUACAGAAGACUGGAUCUGAGGGCAGCAGCGGGGACAAAUGAUUGUAAUGAAGCGACAGACAUUUCAUGGCUGGUCUUAGAUAAUUGUGAGUCAUUGUGUCUUAUGGUGAAAAGUACAUAGUUUUGCAAGAGGCAUACAAGCACUGUGGAAAAAGUAAUCAUAAAACUGUUUUUGUGAACACUUUGCUCCCUACGUUAUGCUUUUAAAAUUUGAUACAUGUAAUGUGAUCAUCAAAGAACAUGUUCUUUUUAAAAACACUCAUUCUUAUGCUUUUAAACUAUGUCAGAUUAUCAUAAAACACUUAUUUGUAUGUUAUAAUGUUUUUCUUACACCAUGUGUAAUUUUCAUUCACACCUUGUUCAUUGUAUCAAUGUGUAAUUAUGUAUCUUUGAUAAAUAAAUAAAAUAUUUAAUCCUGUAUUUGUGUACUUUCUGGUGAUUCAAUAAAAAAUUAGUCACAUAUCGCUCUGAUAAACACAGAUGGCUGAAAGAAAUGUUUGAUGGAGCAAAGGAAACAAGUGUCUUGCUGCUAAACUUUUAAGUCACCAUGGUUUAAAUGAGAAAAUGCCACUAGGAAACUAGCAGCCCUAAGUCUUUAUGUAAAACAUGAAAAACUCCAUAUCAGUGAUAUCUACAAAGGUGUACUCAUUUCUUUGUUAUGGUACUUUACUGUUCCAAU